ensembl:Y_RNA Y_RNA Y RNA
GGCUGGCCCAAGUGCAGUGGUGUUUCUCUACUCCCACUGCUUGACUUGACUAGCCUUGA